rnacentral:tRNA from 1 species
CAGGGUUUAGUUUAAUUUAGAAUAGUGGCUUUGGGGGCUGUAGGUGAUUUUUAUCUGUCCUGA